UAUACUGUCCAGUCGGACGGGAACGAAAUCAGGACGGCCUAGUGACGUUAUCGAGUAGCUCGAAUGAUAUAUGUGUGUGUGUGUGUACAUACAGAUAUAUAGUCCCCAGUUAGUGGGGAUCUGGUUUUAUGCCGCUUUAAAAUUGCGAUUUAUAGCGAUUUGAUGAACUCAUCGGGUAAGGAUUCUCCUUCCUCUUCCACUCGCAAGGGGGACUGAAUGUAAUGGAGGCCAAGGACAGCACAUGACAACCUGUGUUUGGGAUGUCCAAAGUUUGUAACCCAUGACGAAAAAAACCUUUCAACCUUUGGUCCUAGUUGACAGCUGUGUAACACUUCAUUGGGUAGACGAAGUCUUCAUGUAACUGCUGCCAUACUGCAUGCAUAUGUUGACUGAUAAAGAUGAGCAAGCUGUCUGCAAAAUGAGAGAAAAUGUUGACAUGAGUAGAAAAUCUGGAGACUGUAUUUUCCUGUCUAAUGUAGACCAUUUCUAGUGUAGGUUCAUAAGGUACUAUUAGACAUGUAUCACCACUGAAGCUACUAAGGACUGUUUUGCCCUCCACAAAAUGAUGCGUUUUAGGAAUCAAAGUGCAUUACCAUGGUAUGUAACUGAAGAGGCUCACAUAAAUUGGAGUACUGUUCUAUGUUUUCAGAAUUGCCAAUUCCACGCUGGACGAGUAGGUUACGUGUUCACCUACCUAUUCAGUAGUCCUGAGUUUGAUACCCGCUCUGCCAACGUGGAAUUAGAGGAAUUUGUUUCUGGUGAUUAGAAAUUCAUUUCUUGAAAAUGUGGUUUGGAUCCCCACAAUAAGCUGUAGGUCCCAUUGCUAGGUAACCAAUUGUUCCUAGCCACGUAAAAAAUAUCUAAUUCUUUGGGGCAGCUCUAGGAGAGCUGUUGAUCAGUUCAGUGGUCUGGUUAAACAAAGAUUUACUUAACUUUCUGAAUUGCAAAAAAGAGAGAAAAAAAAAUGCUACUGUUGCCUCAAGACAAUGUCCUACCCAAAGACAUUUCAGGGGGUCAGUGGCCAGUUAGUUUUGAAUUUUUCUACAUGCCAGUUACACUUAAUCACCCUGGUGCAAGCUACCUAACUGGAGUCAAUGUCCAAAAUUGACCAUUGUUUUGGAGUAUUUGAUGGUCCAGGCUACAACAUUCACUUCUCCCCUUUUUUUUUUUGUUUUUUAUAUAAUUGGUAUUAUGUCUAAAGCUCUGCUUUUGGAUUCUAAUUUUUGUAUUUUGUAGCCAUGAUGGGUUCUAGGAAUAAAUAAUUUGGUAUUUGAUCAUUCCAUUCCAAAGGGAAAACACUUUUUAUCCAGAUUUUAUAUAUGGAUAUGAAUUCUUAGUAUAUCUGGAUUUGUAAUGAUGCUUCCACUAGGAGAAUGUCUUUUGUAUGGAAGAUGGUAGUUUGUAUUCUCAGAAAUAAAUAAGUACCAGAUUUUAAA